rnacentral:rRNA from 1 species
UUUCCGUAGGKGAACYUGSGGAAGGAUCAUUAUUGAAUARACUUGAUGGGUUGUUGCUGGCCUCUUGAGGCAUGUGCACACCUGUCUUGACUUUACUCAUCCACYUGUGCACUUGUUGUAGUCCUUUACUCUAUGUCCUUUUGUCAUAUACCAUGUAGUAUGUUGCCAGAAUGUAUUYGGUGGGCCCUUGUGCCUAUAGAAACUUUAUACAACUUUCAGCAACGGAUCUCUUGGCUCYCGCAUCGAUGAAGAACGCAGCGAAAUGCGAUAAGUAAUGUGAAUUGCAGAAUUCAGUGAAUCAUCGAAUCUUUGAACGCACCUUGCGCUCCUUGGUAUUCCGAGGAGCAUGCCUGUUUGAGUGUCAGAAAAUUCUCAACCCCUCUAGUUCUUUUAUGYUGCUGGCUGGGGCUUGGAUGUGGAGGUGUUGCAGGCCGGUCAGCUCCUSUGAAAUACAUUAGUGGAACGGUUUGUGAUCUGCUGCAGGUGUGAUAAUUAAUCUAURCCGAGUGGGUGACUCUCUGCUGUGUUCUGCUGCCAACUGUCUGYGAAGACAACUAGUUACUGAAUAUUUGACCUCAAAUCA